UGAGGAAUUUUCGGCAAUGGGCGCAAGCCUGACCGAGCAACGCCGCGUGCAGGACGAAGGUCUUCGGAUCGUAAACUGCUUUUCCCAGGGACGAGCGAGGACGGUACCUGGGGAAUCAGCCCCGGCUAACUACGUGCCAGCAGCCGCGGUAAUACGUAGGGGGCGAGCGUUAUCCGGAGUUACUGGGCGUAAAGCGCACGCAGGCGGUCGUGUAAGUUUGGGGUGACAGCUCCCGGCUCAACUGGGAGAGGACCUUGAAGACUGCAGGACUUGAGGGCCAGAGAGGGACACGGAAUUCCGGGUGUAGUGGUGAAAUGCGUAGAUAUCCGGAGGAACACCAAAGGCGAAGGCAGUGUCCUGGCUGGUACCUGACGCUCAGGUGCGAAAGCUAGGGGAGCGAACGG
rnacentral:rRNA from 1 species